rnacentral:rRNA from 1 species
UGCCUUACGAUAAUCUAUGUAAGGUUAAUCCUGCCCAGUGAUGUUUCAACGGCCGCGGUACCCUGACCGUGCAAAGGUAGCAUAAUCAUUUGCCUUUUAAUUGGAGGCUGGAAUGAACGGAUAAACGAGAGUAUAUCUGUCUCUAAAUUACACUAUAUAAAUUAAACUUUAGGUGAAGAUGCCUAAAUAAAAUAAAAAGACAAGAAGACCCUAUUGAGUUUUAUUAAGCUACUACACUACUAUUCACUUUUAGCUAUUAAUUUGGUUGGGGCGACCAAGGAAAUAUUAAACAUCCUUUAUUACUCAGGACCAUUCUCCCUUCUAUUGACCCUCUAAUGAUCAACAGAAUAAACUACCAUAGGGAUAACAGGCUUAUCUUCUUUGAGAGCUCAUAUUGAUAAGAAGGUCUGGCACCUCGAUGUUGGCUUAGGGCACCCAUUAAAUGCAACAGUUUAAUAAGGGUAGUUUGUUCAACUAUUAAAUCCCU